CACAUCUCCGCCCCUCCUCCGCCCCUUGCAACGCUCGUCCAGGAGCAGUACAAGCUAGGUUUGGGUGCUAAGGUGGAAGCAACAAAGAAGGGAUACCCGUGCUAUUGUUUUAUCAUACACAGACGAAGUGUGCAUUGCGACCCUUAGGAGAGGAUACUGCACCUAGCUUCUACCAAUGAUUAGAGGUAUAUGUUCAACCCCUCUUUGUCAUGCAUCUACCUUUGCUCAUGUGAAUGGUGAUAUUUGUUGCUUAUGGGUUGC